UGAUGUGAGGGCAAUCUGGCUACAGCAUCUGUCACCCCAUUGAUUGCUAGCAUUGAUCUGAUCUGGCUGGCCAGGCAGGUGUCCCCUUCCUCCCUCGUCACUCCACACGCUUCCUUCCCAAGCUGCACACUGGGUCGAAGAGGACGAAAUUCCCUCAGAGAGGAGGACUGAUCUUCCUAAGGGCAGAGCUGUGUUCCCCUGCUAGAACCUCUAAACAAGUUCUUAGGUUAUGCAUCUCUGGCAGGAAUAUCACAAAAGUGAAGCUGCAUUCUUCUCAUUGCAUUCUUCGGG
rfam:Sus scrofa isolate TJ Tabasco breed Duroc chromosome 1, whole genome shotgun sequence.